UGAAACCGUGUACGUACAAGCAGUAGGAGCACCUUCGUGGUGUGACUGCGUACCUUUUGUAUAAUGGGUCAGCGACUUAUAUUCAGUGGCAAGGUUAACCAUCUAGGGGAGCCGUAGGGAAACCGAGUCUUAACUGGGCGUUCAGUCUCUGGAUAUAGACCCGAAACCAGGUGAUCUAGCCAUGGGCAGGUUGAAGGUUGAGUAACAUCAACUGGAGGACCGAACCGACUAAUGUUGAAAAAUUAGCGGAUGACUUGUGGCUAGGGGUGAAAGGCCAAUCAAACCUGGAGAUAGCUGGUUCUCCCCGAAAGCUAUUUAGGUAGCGCCUCGGACGAAUACUACUGGGGGUAGAGCACUGUUAAGGCUAGGGGGUCAUCCCGACUUACCAACCCUUUGCAAACUCCGAAUACCAGUAAGUACUAUCCGGGAGACACACGGCGGGUGCUAACGUCCGUCGUGGAGAGGGAAACAACCCAGACCGCCAGCUAAGGUCCCAAAUUACUACUAAGUGGGAAACGAUGUGGGAAGGCUCAGACAGCCAGGAUGUUGGCUUAGAAGCAGCCAUCAUUUAAAGAAAGCGUAAUAGCUCACUGGUCGAGUCGGCCUGCGCGGAAGAUGUAACGGGGCUAAGUAGUAAACCGAAGCUGCGGCAAUAUACUUUUGUAUAUUGGGUAGGGGAGCGUUCUGUAAGCGGUUGAAGGUGUGUGGUAACGCAUGCUGGACGUAUCAGAAGUGCGAAUGCUGACAUGAGUAACGAUAAAGGGGGUGAAAAACCUCCUCGCCGGAAGACCAAGGGUUCCUGUCCAACGUUAAUCGGGGCAGGGUAAGUCGACCCCUAAGGCGAGGCCGAAAGGCGUAGUCGAUGGGAAACGGGUUAAUAUUCCCGUACUUCUUACAAUUGCGAUGGGGGGACGGAGAAGGCUAGGUGGGCCUGGCGACGGUUGUCCAGGUUCAAGUGCGUAGGCUUAAGAGUUAGGUAAAUCCGGCUCUUUCUAAGGCUGAGACACGACGUCGAGCACCUACGGGUGUGAAGUCAUUGAUGCCAUGCUUCCAGGAAAAGCCUCUAAGCUUCAGAUUGUAAGGAAUCGUACCCCAAACCGACACAGGUGGUCGGGUAGAGAAUACCAAGGCGCUUGAGAGAACUCGGGUGAAGGAACUAGGCAAAAUGGUACCGUAACUUCGGGAGAAGGUACGCUCUUGAUGGUGAAGUCCCUUGCGGAUGGAGCUGACNAUACCAAGGCGCUUGAGAGAACUCGGGUGAAGGAACUAGGCAAAAUGGUACCGUAACUUCGGGAGAAGGUACGCUCUCGACGGUGAAGUCCCUCGCGGAUGGAGCUAUUGAGAGUCGCAGAUACCAGGUGGCUGCAACUGUUUAUUAAAAACACAGCACUGUGCAAAAUCGUAAGAUGACGUAUACGGUGUGACGCCUGCCCGGUGCCGGAAGGUUAAUUGAUGGGGUUAGACUUCGGUCGAAGCUCUUGAUCGAAGCCCCGGUAAACGGCGGCCGUAACUAUAACGGUCCUAAGGUAGCGAAAUUCCUUGUCGGGUAAGUUCCGACCUGCACGAAUGGCGUAAUGAUGGCCACGCUGUCUCCACCCGAGACUCAGUGAAAUUGAAAUCGCUGUGAAGAUGCAGUGUACCCGCGGCUAGACGGAAAGACCCCGUGAACCUUUACUACAGCUUGGCACUGAACAUUGACCCUACAUGUGUAGGAUAGGUGGGAGGCUUUGAAGCACGUACGCCAGUAUGUGUGGAGCCGUCCUUGAAAUACCACCCUUGUAGUGUUGAUGUUCUAACGUCGACCCCUAAUCGGGGUUGCGGACAGUGCCUGGUGGGUAGUUUGACUGGGGCGGUCUCCUCCCAAAGAGUAACGGAGGAGCACGAAGGUGGGCUAAUCACGGUUGGACAUCGUGAGGUUAGUGCAAUGGCAUAAGCCCGCUUGACUGCGAGAAUGACAAUUCGAGCAGGUGCGAAAGCAGGUCAUAGUGAUCCGGUGGUUCUGAAUGGAAGGGCCAUCGCUCAACGGAUAAAAGGUACUCCGGGGAUAACAGGCUGAUACCGCCCAAGAGUUCAUAUCGACGGCGGUGUUUGGCACCUCGAUGUCGGCUCAUCACAUCCUGGGGCUGAAGUCGGUCCCAAGGGUAUGGCUGUUCGCCAUUUAAAGUGGUACGCGAGCUGGGUUUAGAACGUCGUGAGACAGUUCGGUCCCUAUCUGCCGUGGGCGUUGGAAGAUUGAAGGGGGCUGCUCCUAGUACGAGAGGACCGGAGUGGACGAACCUCUGGUGUUCGGGUUGUGUCGCCAGACGCAUUGCCCGGUAGCUAAGUUCGGAAUCGAUAACCGCUGAAAGCAUCUAAGCGGGAAGCGAGCCCUGAGAUGAGUCUUCCCUGAUACUUUAAGUAUCCUAAAGGGUUGUCGGAGACUACGACGUUGAUAGGUCAGGUGUGUAAGUGCUGUGAGGCAUUGAGCUAACUGAUACUAAUUGCCCGUGAGGCUUAACCAU
rnacentral:rRNA from 1 species